rfam:Gorilla gorilla gorilla genomic chromosome, chr2B, whole genome shotgun sequence
GCCGGGCAUGGUGGCACAUGCCUGUAGUUUCAGCUACUCGGGAGGCUGAGGAAGGAAGAUUGCUUGAGCCCAGGAGCUCAAGGCUGCAGUGAGCUUUAUCAAGCCACUGCACUCCAGCCUGGGCAACAGAGUGAGAUCCUGUCUCAA